rnacentral:rRNA from 1 species
GACAGAGGAUGCAAGCGUUAUCCGGAAUGAUUGGGCGUAAAGCGUCCGCAGGUGGCUAUGUAAGUCUGCUGUUAAAGAGUGAGGCUCAACCUCAUAAGAGCAGUGGAAACUACAUAGCUAGAGUGCGUUCGGGGCAGAGGGAAUUCCUGGUGUAGCGGUGAAAUGCGUAGAUAUCAGGAAGAACACCGGUGGCGAAAGCGCUCUGCUAGGCCGCAACUGACACUGAGGGACGAAAGCUAGGGGAGCGAAUGGG